rnacentral:misc_RNA from 1 species
AACAAGGCGUACCUGCGGACCUGCGGAAGGAUCAUUACCAGAGUGCCCUAGGCUCUCCAACCCAUUGUGAACUUACCAAACGUUCCCUCGGCGGGCUCAGCGCGCGGCGGCCUCCGGGCCUCCGGGCGUCCGCCGGGGAAAACCAAACCCUGAUUUAAUCGUAUUUCUCUGAGGGGCGAAAGCCCGAAAACAAAAUGAAUCAAAACUUUCAACAACGGAUCUCAGAUCGGAAGAGCACAC